AUGAACGCUAGCUACAGGCUUAACACAUGCAAGUCGAGGGGCAGCAUGGUCUUAGCUUGCUAAGGCCGAUGGCGACCGGCGCACGGGUGAGUAACACGUAUCCAACCUGCCGUCUACUCUUGGACAGCCUUCUGAAAGGAAGAUUAAUACAAGAUGGCAUCAUGAGUCCGCAUGUUCACAUGAUUAAAGGUAUUCCGGUAGACGAUGGGGAUGCGUUCCAUUAGAUAGUAGGCGGGGUAACGGCCCACCUAGUCUUCGAUGGAUAGGGGUUCUGAGAGGAAGGUCCCCCACAUUGGAACUGAGACACGGUCCAAACUCCUACGGGAGGCAGCAGUGAGGAAUAUUGGUCAAUGGGCGAGAGCCUGAACCAGCCAAGUAGCGUGAAGGAUGACUGCCCUAUGGGUUGUAAACUUCUUUUAUAAAGGAAUAAAGUCGGGUAUGGAUACCCGUUUGCAUGUACUUUAUGAAUAAGGAUCGGCUAACUCCGUGCCAGCAGCCGCGGUAAUACGGAGGAUCCGAGCGUUAUCCGGAUUUAUUGGGUUUAAAGGGAGCGUAGAUGGAUGUUUAAGUCAGUUGUGAAAGUUUGCGGCUCAACCGUAAAAUUGCAGUUGAUACUGGAUAUCUUGAGUGCAGUUGAGGCAGGCGGAAUUCGUGGUGUAGCGGUGAAAUGCUUAGAUAUCACGAAGAACUCCGAUUGCGAAGGCAGCCUGCUAAGCUGCAACUGACAUUGAGGCUCGAAAGUGUGGGUAUCAAACAGGAUUAGAUACCCUGGUAGUCCACACGGUAAACGAUGAAUACUCGCUGUUUGCGAUAUACUGCAAGCGGCCAAGCGAAAGCGUUAAGUAUUCCACCUGGGGAGUACGCCGGCAACGGUGAAACUCAAAGGAAUUGACGGGGGCCCGCACAAGCGGAGGAACAUGUGGUUUAAUUCGAUGAUACGCGAGGAACCUUACCCGGGCUUAAAUUGCAGAUGAAUUACGGUGAAAGCCGUAAGCCGCAAGGCAUCUGUGAAGGUGCUGCAUGGUUGUCGUCAGCUCGUGCCGUGAGGUGUCGUCUUAAGUGCCAUAACGAGCGCAACCAUUGUUGUCAGUUACUAACAGGUUCCGCUGAGGACUCUGACAAGACUGCCAUCGUAAGAUGUGAGGAAGGUGGGGAUGACGUCAAAUCAGCACGGCCCUUACGUCCGGGGCUACACACGUGUUACAAUGGGGGGUACAGAGGGCCGCUACCACGCGAGUGGAUGCCAAUCCCCAAAACCUCUCUCAGUUCGGACUGGAGUCUGCAACCCGACUCCACGAAGCUGGAUUCGCUAGUAAUCGCGCAUCAGCCACGGCGCGGUGAAUACGUUCCCGGGCCUUGUACACACCGCCCGUCAAGCCAUGGGAGCCGGGGGUACCUGAAGUGCGUAACCGCGAGGAGCGCCCUAGGGUAAAACUGGUGACUGGGGCU
rnacentral:rRNA from 1 species